GUCUGUGGCCAUACCACCCUGUAUGCACCUGAUCUCGUCUGAUUUUGGAAGCUAAGCAGGAUCGGGCCUUGUUAGUACUUAGUACUUGGAUGGGAGAUAGUCUAUAAUUUUCACCACUUGAGGUGGAGACUGAGA
rnacentral:rRNA from 1 species